GGCUGAUAUUGGGUGUCAUAUUGUAUUUUUAUUUCUGGGGAGGAGCUUCUGGUAUUUUUUCCUUCAGGGGCCAAAAUAACUUGACCAGCCUUGGCUCCUGUGUGGAGAAAAAGUGGGGCAAGAAUGACAAUGUGCUUCCUUUCCUCAAGCAGCAAAAUAGCUUGAGCCAGUCCAGAUGUUUUCCUAAGGGAGGGUUUAAGUCCCUUAGUUUAAAAUGUUUAGUUUAAUGCACUUAGUUUGUAAAGUAAUACACUUCAAUACACUUAGUUAAUACUAAGGGUUUUUUUAUGGAAAGCAGCAAAUACAAUAUAGUGCUUGAUGCACUAUUGGCUGUGAUUCUAUAAUUUUCUUCAGGUUUUGUUCUAAUUCACUAGUCCCCAUUUCAUUACAUCUCACAUGCUCGACAAUAAAUUUUAACGUAAGUGAAAUUGAGCAUUUUAAUGUUCUUGAUGUUGGCAUUGCCUUGAUACUUCUUAUAAUUGAAGUAAGAGCUGAUCUUAGGAUAAAACAGAGGUUUGGGCCGUAAUUUCACCCAAAGAGCUGGCUUCACAUGUAGCAGUAAGCAAAGCUAUAACUUGGUCUGAAUGUGUGGGUUUGCUGAGCAAAGCUGCUGCAUUGUUGUGACCAUGGCAUGUCACUCCUGCAAAGGUUUGUUAUUAGGUUUACAGUUUGUGGUUUGUCUUGAGGUGACAAUCCAUGAGCCCAGGUCCUGGUGGUAUGUUAUGCCAAACCAUGGCUUAGUCCAUGGUUAUGUGGCAGCAGAUGGACCAGCCACAGUCUCCAUAGCGUGCAAGCUAGUGCAGUGUUUUGUUCACAAGAGUGUUAAAAUGUUGGUGUGAUCAUCUUUGUUGAAAAUGCAGUAGUUUCUACUUGUCAAGCACCACAGAUAAUAAUAGUUGCUUAACAGCUGUUCUGGAAUUACAAAUUGGGUUUUCCACAGGCCCCUAAUGCUCAUCUGUGAACGUGCUUCUCCGUCUUGACCUACAAAUACCCAGUGUGCGUAGAACAAUGGAAGUGAUUUUUUUCAUAGGCUUGGGGUCAUGAAGUUCACAGUCAGGUUGGAGAUAAAAGGUAAAGGGACCCCUGACCAUUAGGUCCAGUCGUGACCGACUCUGGGGUUGCGGCGCUCAUCUCACUUUAUUGGCCAAGGGAGCCGGCGUACAGCUUCUGGGUCAUGUGGCCAGCAUGACUAAGCCGCUUCUGGCGAACCAGAACAGUGCACAGAAACACCAUUUACCUUCCCACCGACAUGUUUUCGAACUGCUCCCUUCGACAUGCUUUCGAACUGCUAGGUUGGCAGGAGCAGGGACCAAGCAACGGGAGCUCACCCCAUUGUGGGUAUUCGAACCACUGACCUUCUGAUUGGCAAGUCCUAGGCUCUGUGGUUUAACCCACAGCACCACCCACGUCCCUAUUCCCUCUAUAUUAUGAUUUAAUUUCUUAUUUCCAAUAAUUCAAAUGCCAUUAUAGCCAUACAUGGAGUAUGCGCAUGUGGCACAUAACCAUGUGAAAUUUUCACCUAGUGUACUUGCCAUUUCACUGUCUUUUUUUUAGCACCUAAGUGGCAAUAUUUGUUAUUCUUGUUGGGACAUUAGUCCUUGUACAGUAGCUUUCCCUGAGUUCUGUACCUGACAUUUCCCGAAUGUCAUUAGACUUGGUGGAACGUUUAAACCAGAGGGAGGGAGUAUGGGAUAAUUGAAUGUUAAGCCCUUUCAAAAUGGGCAUUUCGAUCCCCAAAGACCUGCUUAAAGUGAAUAAAAGAGUAGAUGCAGUUGUCAAUUUUCUACUUGGUGACUAAAUAUAAGCUGCGUAAGCAGAAGUAAGACCCAGUAAACCUGGCUUGCAAAAAAAGUGUAAAAUUGCUACAAGCUUUAAAUUCCUCAUCGGGUCAGGAAGGCAGCUGUUUGAGCAUAUAUUAUCUAGAGGGCUUUCUUCCUCCUGGUUCUUGAAUUUUAACUAUGCCAAGAGCUGCUCUGUGCCUUGAUAUCAUUCGCCACCAUCCUUCUUCAUGUGUUGUAGGCAGCCCCUCAGCAAAAGAUACUUAUCAAGCCAGAGGAAGCAGCUUAAGCUAUUCUUUUGUUAGCUUUUAGAAAGCAUAGAGCUCCAAAUGAAUCCUGAAGUUCCUGGGCAGCCUGCUUGCAAGCACUGUGCAUAAGAAACUCUUAUUAUUGUAGGUCACUGAAUUCAUUUUUAAAAUGCCAAUUGACAUCAUUCCUUUGGGGAAUUGUUAGUUGCAGCAGAAAUGUGGAAAGUUAGGAGUUUUUUUGUUUUUGUUUUGGAAAGGAUCUCACUUGAGUGUGUAGAAGAAGUUCAGGUGGCACCUUUCCAGCAUUUCAAUUUACCUAAAUGGACAUAGCUGGUUUACUAGAGAUUUCCACUGUGGCUGUCUUGUUUUAACAUGCUUUGGGAAAUUGGCACGAUUUCUCCUAGCCUUGGCACGGAGCUUGAUGACUCCGGCUGAUACUUAGCUCCUGCUUUAGCAGAAAUUGAUACUAUAGCACCAAUAAUGGCCACAGCUGCUUAGUCGAAAAUGAAAAUAGGAAUACUAAAUGCAUGAAGAGAAAUGACCAAAGACAAGCUAUCUAGAGCUAUUUGUGGAAAAGAGUGAUUUCUGAUUGGGAAGCCCUAGCCAACUUGUUACUCAUUAUAUCCUCCUGACAUGUUGCGUACAUUUUAAUAUCUGUCAGGUAGUCAAGUACACUGCAUUCUUACCAUCAUUAAGCAAUACGAUUUGCUUUUCACUUCAUUACAGGGGAGCCCAGUUAUACUGCCGCUCAAGUUAAAAAUCUGGCAACUGCUUAUUCCAGAGAUUUAAAAUAGCCACUUAAAAAACAAACCAACAAACCCUGAAGUCUCAGAACUUCAGAAUCCACUUUUCAGCCUUGUCAAAAGCUUCAUUUGUAAGUCUGGCAUUCAAAUAAUUCUUACCCUCUGCCCUCUUCUCUAAAUUAGAAAAUAUGAUGUGAGAUAGAGGCUGUAUAUUUCAUUUGCCACUGAAUGAAAUGACAGGAUAGUGUAUCUGGAUAAAUGUUAAUGAACAGGACUAAUGUUAGAAAGCCCUGCAUAUUAUGACUAUCACCUAAUUCUCUUUUUGUAUGACGUCCAAGGAGCUUAACAUUCCAGUUGAUCAAGAUGAAUGUGAACCCUCCCCACUGCCCAAUUGUGGAUUUAACCCACAUACUUAUUACAAAUAACUGGAGAAUUCUUUGGAAAACAAAUGAUCAUAUCUGAUACAGUAUCUUAUUUUAUUUACCCUUCCUUUUCAUGCUAUGAGAAGAUCACAUUUAUCUUCUGGAGUGUUAAGCUGCUUGAAGGCUUUUUCACAUGUUAUAAUGUUCUUCCUUGGAAUGGAUUCAACUUAACCAUCCUAAGGCUUACUGAAUGCCAGCUCUGACCAUGUGGCAUUUAAACAUAUUUUAAUGUUCAUUGGUACCAUACUUCUACUUUGCUGAACAUUCAAGAGAACACUUAUUUCAGUAGCUAAAGGGAGCCAGCACUUGCAGUUGUUAAUAGUAGCUAGUAGCUAGUAGAUUAGAAUGCUAACCUGGGCUUUCAAAGCCACUUUGAACCCUGCUUAUCAUGCGAGCAUCUGUCAAGAUGUAAUGCUAAAUCAGCAGUAGCCUUCCAGAGGUAGUUGGACCAAAUCUCAUCAUCCCUGGCCAACAUGAACAAUGGUCAGGGCUGACUGUGUUGUACUACAACAGCAUAUACAGUAUUGGCUACCUCUGAGAGGAAUUGGAACUGGUAGGUUCCUGAUUUGCAGUCCAUGGUUUCGUAGAGACCCAGUGUUAUAUCUGUACUGAGCCUAUGAUCAACUCUCAUGCUUUCGCCUAUGGCACUGAAGACUACAAACCAGCUACUCAGAUAGUAUGCCAGGGACAAAGCUGAACAAAAAACUCACUGUGAUUUUUUUGAGAAUAAAAAGUCCUCUUUCACAUUUUGAUAUAUUUUCUUUAAAAAUGUGUACUUGUUUCAAAUGCCAGUGAAAUGGAUCACCAGAAUAGUAUAAUAUGUUGUUUGGGAUCUAGCUAGUUCCACAUUUCAUGAGGUUUUGAGUUUGUGUUUCUCAUACAACAAUUUCCCAAGCCUUGUGGAAAUACGCUUUUGAAACCCAGGAGACUUUUAAAACUAGUUUGUGUUAUGGCAUAAUUGUCUUAUGUGUGCAUAUUUAUAAACACACACACACACACACACACACACACACACAAUAUUUUCAGAUGUUGCCUUGUUGUUGUCUUGAAAACAUUUGCAACUACAAAACUACUAAAUAAAUAUUCUCAUGCAAGAGAUGUGAGAGCUGUUGAGUAGCCCUAGUCAGAUGAAGACAAAUUUUGCAUUUCAUAUCCCUGCAGAUCACCUCCUUGUUUAUUUAUUUCAAACCCUUCCCUUCCCUUUAAUAUGGUACUCAAAAUGGAUGGGCCCCUGUUAACCUUUCUGAAAAUAAUGAUCUGACUGAGAUCAUGCUUGGUAUAUUCCAGCUCAGUAGGCAUAUUCUUUGGGAAAAUUAUAAGCAAAUGGCAAGGAUGGAUUAUGUCCCAAGAAGCAGCCCCUAUAAGACAUUUGUAUGCAUAGUUAUGGCUGAAAUGCAAUUACAUAAGUAAACAGUUUGGUUUCUCCAGUUCUCGCUAUCAUAUCAGAAACAGGUUUUAGCCAUACAUAAUUCAUCUCCUCAUUCCACUACAUGAGAGAAUGAGAAUUUAGGAGUACAAAACUGACUUGUAAGGAGGAUUUAUUAGGAAGCUCUGACCCACAAUUAUCUGGGAGAAGAUAGUUUUGGCAAGUUAGUUUUUCUCAUGGAGGUCAGUGCUUUCUUUCCAUCAUUCUAAAUUUAUUGAUGAUAAAGUAUAUAGUUUCAAAUGGUUUGCCAGGGACACACCAGAUGCCUGAAUUCUGGACUGGUUUAUGGCUAAUUUAAAAAGGCUAAUUCUUUCCCCCCUCAAACUUACAAGUGUGAAUAUAUUUAUUGUCAAAGCAGUCAAUAGUUUGACAAGCUAAGUAAAUCCAGGAAAACCUAAUUGGGUAUUUUCCAUUCCACAUAGCAUUAGUGCUUAUUUUUAAGAGAGUCCUGGGAGUAGCUGUUAGUAAAGAUAUUGAUUACUACUCUGCUGUUGAUAGUUGGUUGAGUAGGAGGCUAGCACUUCAUAGAAGCUAAACCAAAAUUUAAAGGGGUGAAAAUGUUGUUAUUUUCACACAUUUCUAAGAGACUUGCUAUGCUGUAUUCUCUCUGUGUAUACAAUUGUUUUUUUUUUUCUAAAGAGCUGACAGAAACCAAAGGUCAUGAUCUUCUGUGUGUUGCUAAUUCAGAUGAAGACUGCACAUGAAAUGUCUAGGGAUUUACUCUGUAUGAAAUACCUACAGUGAUUUGUAUCAUAGUUUCGGUCUAAAAUAAUGUAUCCACAAUAAUAUAACUAAAAAUAUGCAUUUUUACAAACAAAACUGUCCAGAUAUAUUUGGUGCUUGGUCCCUCAGCUUUGGUAUUAAAAGAAAAAAAAGUUUUUAUAAUGUAUCUGACUUACGUCCCCCCCAUUUAGUUUGUUGAGUGCUAAAAUAAGUGUGUUUUUGCCUCUUGGUUUUUGUGAAUGCUUAGUCUCAAAGAUCUCAUUGCAGUAUAUCAAGAAAGUAAUUGAUUGUGCCAUGUAGCCUGUGAUCCCACUAUAGAAAGCAACCCCUAUAAGAAAAUAAAUAUUUUUAAGGGUGUGUAGUGUACGAAUCUAUACAUAGCUGAAAUGCUACUCGUUGUAGCUUCAUACUUUCUUAAAGCAAACACUGCAGUGCUCAUGAAUAAACAUAAAUUCUGCAUAAAAACCAGUGAUCUAAUUUGAUGUAUUGGGAUGGCAUGGUUUCAUUAUUAAAAUACAAACCUAUGUAUUUGGUUUUGCAUUGAUGACACAGUGCAUGGUCUAUAAUGCAUACCUUCUGUCGGUAUAAGCAAAUAUGCAAAUAUGAACAGCAGUUAUACGCACUCCACUUCAUGUGCUCUGUGUCCUUUCUGGGGUUUAGCAGUUUGGGUUCAGCUUUCAUACCAAAAAGCCCUCCACUUUAGAUGGCUACUGCAUUAAGUUAAUGAAUACUGUAGUCCGGAUACAUUUGAAUGCACUUCCUCCGCAGGGGUGUGUGUGUGUGUGUGUAGAAUCAGUAUUGUAACCUCACACAUGGAGAUAUAUGCGGCGCGGGGGUGCAAAGAUCUGCCCGGCGCCCCCCCCCCCGGUUGCUCAGUCCCAGGCACACAGGAGGGUGGAGCUGGAUGGCCGCCUCAGUGUCUCACUGGCUCGGUUGCCCCCAAACUCAUGGCACAGAGCCACCCGCAGCAGAAGAGCCUGCUCUGGCGCUCCGACCGACGGGCAGGCUCUUCCCCGGACUCAACUCUCAGGCCCCGGACUCUUGACCUGGCACCCAAGAGCCCGGUGCCUGGGUGCCCCGCCUUUGGGUAAGACGGCCCUGCAUGGAGAUUGAGGACUCCAUUGGCUGUCCCAGGAAGAAUCAAUUUGUCCAUUAUUUAUGCAUGUUUGUACUGUAUCUAUGAAUAAGUUAAUAAGAACAGUGGGUUGAAGCUAAACAUCUAUACAGUGGUACCUCGGGUUACAGACGCUUCAGGUUUCAGACUCCGCUAACCCAGAAAUAGUACCUCGGGUUAAGAACUUUGCUUCAGGAUGAGAACAGAAAUCGUGCUCUGGCGGCGCAGCAGCAGCAGAAGGCCCCAUUAGCUAAAGUGGUGCUUCAGGUUAAGAACAGUUUCAGGUUAAGAAUGGACCUCUGGAACAAAUUAAGUUUUUAACCCAAGGUAGGUAAAGGUAAAGGUACCCCUGCCUGUACGGGCCAGUCGUGUCUGACUCUAGGGUUGUGCGCCCAUCUCACUUAAGAGGCCGGGGGCCAGCGCUGUCCGGAGACACUUCCGGGUCACGUGGCCAGCGUGACGAAGCUGCUCUGGCGAGCCAGCACCAGCGCAGCACACGGAAACGCCGUUUACCUUCCCGCUAUAAAGCUGUACCUAUUUAUCUACUUGCACUUGGGGGUGCCUUCAAACUGCUAGGUGGGCAGGAGCUGGGACCGAAAGACGGGAGCUCACCCCGCUGCGGGGAUUCGAACCGCCGACCAUGCGAUCGGCAAAUCCUAGGCACUGCGGUUUUACCCACAGCGCCACCCGCAUCCCUCCUUAACCCAAGGUACCACUGUAUUAAAUAUCUGGUUAUCAAGUGAAAUUUAGUGAUAUUUUUUUUACGUCCUAAUCAUGUAAGGGUAGAAAGUGUUUGUAGUUGGACAAAAGUUGUAAUAAUUGUAAGAUGAACACAGUGGAUCUCAAUAUUACAGGAACAGAAUUUUAGAUGCAUACGUGUAGUGGAAUGUCCUAUGAAACACUCUGAGAAUAAAGGGAGGCUUAUAAUUUAGAUAAGAAGAUUGGCUUCCAGGAGGAAAAAUCAAAAUUGGAAACAGAAUUGUUAGAUCCUAAAACUAAGAACUUAUCAAGAAUGUAUAACUUGCUGUUGAAAUGGAAUACACAGGAUGAAACGGUUAAAUCUGUUAUGAUUAAAUGGGCACAAGAUUUUGGACAUAACAUUAUGUUUGCUGACUGGGAACAGUUAUGGACCACAGGUAUGAAAUUUACGGCUUGUAAUGCCUUAAGAGAAAAUAUAAUGAAAAUGAUUUACAGGUGGUACUUAACCCCAGCCAAACUAGCAAAAAUCUAUCAUUUGUCAGAUAGUAAAUGUUGGAAAUGUAAAGAGACUGAGGGCACAUUUUUUUCACCUUUGGUGGACAUGCCCAAGGAUUAAGGCUUUCUGGGAAAUGAUAUAUAAUGAAUUGAAAAAGGUAUUUAAAUAUACCUUUCUGAAGAAACCAGAGGCCUUUCUUCUGGGCAUGGUCGGCCAAUUGGUGCGAAGGGAGGAUAGAACUUUUUUUAUGUAUGCUACAACAGCAGCAAGAAUACUCAUCGGAAAGUACUGGAAGACACAAGAAUUGCCCACCCGAGAAGAAUGGCAGAUGAAAGUGAUGGACUACAUGGAACUGGCUGAGAUGACCGGCAGAAUUCGAGACCAGGGAGAAGGGUCGAUGGAAGAAGAUUGGAAAAAAU